UGAGAGCUGCAGUGGUACCCAUG
rnacentral:piRNA from 1 species